UACGUAGGGGGCAAGCGUUGUCCGGAAUCAUUGGGCGUAAAGAGCGUGUAGGCGGCCAGAAAAGUCCGCUGUGAAAACUCGAGGCUCAACUUCGAGCUGUCGGUGGAAACUUUCUGGCUAGAGUCCGGAAGAGGAGAAUGGAAUUCCAGGUGUAGCGGUGAAAUGCGUAGAUAUCAGGAGGAACACCGGUGGCGAAGGCGGGUCUCUGGGCCGAUACUGACGCUGAGGAGCGAAAGCGUGGGGAGCGAACAGG
rnacentral:rRNA from 1 species